rnacentral:tRNA from 1 species
GCCUUCUUAGCUCAGUGGUAGAGCGCGUGGCUUUUAACCACGUGGUUGUGGGUUCGAACCCCACAGACGGUG